AAGUCUUUCAACCUGAUUUUCCUUUUUGAUUGUUGCAAGCUUAUCUAUUUUCUGCUAGUAGAUUUCUUUUCUGAAACUAGACCUGGGCCUGCUGUGAUUGGGUUUCAGAGACCACUGAGAUGCAUCGCCUCUGGAACUGCUGAGUCCCGGGAGGAUGGGGUUAGUCCACCUGCCUGAAAGGAAUUCACCAUGGAAACCACAGAACAGGAAAAAAAUGAGUGCGAAGGAAGCAAAUCAAAAUCAGUGUAAACUCUUGAACACAGGGGCUUUGUAACACCUCCUCCGGUUGCCUCCCUAGAUUUCGUCUGAUUUUGAGAUCAGAAGACUGAGGCUUAUGAAAGUCAAGUUACUGGCCCAAGCUCACCCAGCUAGAAAGAGUAACGCUGAGAUUCUCACUCACACUCAAUCGGGCGUAGCCAUCGCUGCUCUCGACUCUCCCCAGGCUGCCUCCCAAUGUGCUGUCAUGAUGCUGAGCAGGUGGUUGGUGUCUCAGGAGAUGACCCAGGAUCCAUGGUCAGAAGACCUGCGUUCCCGCCCCUGCUCUGCCGGUCUGUAGGACGUGACCAGUGCAUCAGGCUGCUCUCUUGCCCGUUACCCGUAAAAUGGGGAAAAUUAGACAUACUGCAAAGGACCACUGUAAGAAUUAAACCCGUUUUCCAAGCAGAGGACUUGGCAUAUAAUAGGUGCUCAAUU
rnacentral:lncRNA from 1 species